UUUUAAGUGAUACCCAAUUGCUUAAUUGUUUUCUUACCUUUUUUCUGCAUGUUUUUCACAUUAUAAAUACAUGACUCUUUCAUUAACAAAAACAUCCAUCAUUCGUAGUCUUUCUAGACUUACACUUACACUCAAAAGUAUUCUCUCUUAUUGCUUGUACCGUGGCGUGUUCACAAUGCUUGUUGCAUGUUUUCUCUCUAUUUGCAUCGUUGAAACUGGUAUGUCCUGAUUUAAGCUUUUUAGCACCACAACAGUGUCUUUAUUUACUGCUUUUGUAUCCCUAUCUAAUUACUGCUUCUGUGUGGUUCCACACUGCUGAUUUCUUUCUGCCUUCUAUUAUGAAUCCCAAAUCCCUGCUCCUCUAUAUGUUUACGCUAUGGUUUGAGGCAUGGUAAUCCCGCAAGUUAUUGUCCAUGAACCAAACUCGAUCCCUUGGGACCCUAGCCUCUAAAUAGUGUGUUUUGGAAGGUUUGAGAGUAUGCUAGCAUCCUCCAUUUCUAGGCAUGUUUGAAACCUGUCCUAGCCUAAGUAAUAGGCUCUUCACAACCUCACUACUCCCCUGAACCCCCAUAUGUGUGUUUAUUAGUAGUUGUUUCCCUCUCAUUUUCCCCUUUAG
rnacentral:lncRNA from 1 species